GUUUAAAAUUUUACAAUAGAAAUGGAGAAAAGUAAGUUUGUUAACAAGGAAUAAUAUAGUAUAUAUAUAUAUAUAUAUAGUUAAUUUACAGCUAGUGAAAAGGAUGUUAAUUCGUUGUUUUUAAAUGCAGAUAGAAAUUUUUCAUUGUUUUCUUGAAAGAGCCAUACGAUCUAUUUUCUUUAUAUUUCGAAGGAAGAUUAUUCCAUAUAUCAAUUCCCUUAUUAGUUAGAGUAUGUUUUGUAUAAUUUGUUCUGCUACACUUUUUGUGUAAUAAUGAUGAGUUUCGUGUAUUGUAGUUAUGGAUUUCCUUAUUGGUAGAAAAAUAAUUUGUGAAUGUUUCUGGUAAAUUUUGAAGAUUGAAAUACCUGAACAUAAAAAUACUUGUUAAAUAAUCAUUUAUUGUGUAUAUGUUAAGUAUUUGCAAUUCUAAAAAAAUGGGUUCAGUGUGAUUAGUAUAAUUCUUAAAAGUCAUUAAUCUUACAAUUUUUUUUUGAAUGUUCAUUAACUUUGAAAUACGAGAUUUGUACGUAUUACCCCAAAUGAGGUUACCAUAGAUUAGAUAUGGAUAGACCAAUGCGUAGUAAAUGAGUUUUAGAGAAUUUAAGUUUGUAAAAUGCCGAAUUCUGGAAAUAAUAGCUGCACAUCUGAUCAUUUUCUUUGCUAUUAAAUCUAGAUGAUAACACCAUGUUAAAAAUUCAUCAAUAACAAUUCCUAAAAAUGUGAUACUCUUGGCUUGUUUUAUGGCCUCAUUAUUUAAAGAAAUUUUAACAUUGU